rnacentral:rRNA from 1 species
UACGAAGGGUGCAAGCGUUACUCGGAAUUACUGGGCGUAAAGCGUGCGUAGGUGGUGCGUUAAGUCUGUCGGUGAAAGCCCCGGGCUCAACCUGGGAAUGGCGAUGGAUACUGGCGCGCUAGAGUGCGGUAGAGGAGAGUGGAAUUCCCGGUGUAGCAGUGAAAUGCGUAGAGAUCGGGAGGAACAUCAGUUGCGAAGGCGGCUCUCUGGACCAGCACUGACACUGGAGCACGAAAGCGUGGGGAGCAAACAGG